UACGUAGGGGGCAAGCGUUGUCCGGAAUCAUUGGGCGUAAAGCGCGUGUAGGCGGCUUGGUAAGUCUGCUCUGAAAGCCCGGGGCUCAACCCCGGGAGGCGGGUGGAUACUGUCAAGCUCGAGUCCGGAAGAGGAGUGUGGAAUUCCUGGUGGUAGCGGUGAAAUGCGCAGAUAUCAGGAGGAACACCAGUGGCGAAGGCGGAUCUCUGGGCCUGAUCCUGACCGCUGGAGGCGCGAAAGCUAGGGGAGCGAACAGGAAUU
rnacentral:rRNA from 1 species